AGAGCACCCUGGACACACACCUUAUGCUUUAUCAGCACUUAGAUUCUUUCUCACAAGGUGAGCCCAGAGUGUUGGGACUGGCGAUGAUCCCUGGCCAUCAUGUGGUUUCUAUAGAAGUGGAAUCUGAAAGCCUUCAGAUGACCACCCAUGGACUCUGACAACUUUAGAGGCUUUUGGGGUCACCAUAUGGACUACAGAGAAUGUAGUUUGCACACACACACAUUUUGUCUGCAAAUAUAGAGAUGGCAGUGAAGAUCCACUCUAGCUGGAUUUAUUCACCCCAAAUGGAUUUUUCCUUAUUUUUCAGGGAACUCCAAUUCCAUACACAGUGGUUUGGUCCUCUGUUGAAACAAGAAUAAUAACAACAUGAUGUAAACUGUACCUUUUUGUUUGUGUGUUUGCUUGCAUGUGAGUGGUGCACGUUGUGUGUAAAUACUGACACUUUAAUUUUUCAAUAAGAGACAUCUUUCAUAA